CGCGGGGCCCGGACAGGAAGUGGGAAGGGCGCGCGGCCUCCGCGUGCGUUCGGGACGGGCCGCGUGGACACCGGAAGCGGGCAGGGCUCGGCCCUGUCGACCCCCCACCAACCCCUGCCGCCUCAGUGCGCUGGGAACCCCUCCCCGGGCAGCGCCCGGGCCCAAAGUCGGGACGGGAAGAACACCGGAGGCGCCCGGGGGCCGAGGUGGAGGCGGAGGGAGCGGCGCGCCGGGACCGUCGCCCCGAGGAGAUCGGGACGACGUCGAGGGGAAGGCCGGACCGCGAGAACGGCGGCGGGGACCGCGAACAAACACUACUCACCCGUCCAUUGCACACACAGGGAACCCGCGGAGGACGGAGUGGAGGCGCCGGAAUAGCAGGAACCGACCCAACGGCUCCGAGUUAUAGACUCACAAAAUGGCGGAGACGCCCGAACACGUCCCCCGCGCGCUCUGCCCAUUGGCUCCCGCCGUGAAGGUGGGCGGGGCGAGAACCGCCGGACCUCGCCAGCGCCUCCCAAUGGGUGGGAGGCCCCUCGAGGGGGUGGGAUCAAGAAGAAUGGCAGGCGGCCAUUGGAGAAUACGGCCGUCAGUCAGAGCUCAAGGUGGAAACGACCCGGGAAGUCUGGGGAGGAGAGACACGGUGAAACCACGUGACGAUGCCCGAGCCAGUGGGCGAGUUACCCUCCUGCGUGGGAGAAACCAUUUUGAGAGUGGGUACGUGGCGGGUCAGGCGGCGGGAAGCGUGUUUCCCCUAGGCUGCCGCCAUCUUGCAAACGGGCAGUGUCCACCUUUACUCGGCCGUGAGGGCAAAGGGAGGUGCGCCGCCAUCUUAGAGUUGGGCAGAAAACCUACAGGCCUCCAUGUUGCUUGUGGGCAUCUGGCAGAAGUCUGAUUCGAAUUCAGAUGUUACGCCUAGGUUAGCACGCGGAAAAGUGUAGGCGGCUCAGGGGUACCGGGGCUGUUUCCCCUGCUGGGCACCAAGCCUGCAGCACGAUGUGUCAGUGGCCGCUCCAUACUGUUCUUCGUUCGCCCCAGCUUAGUGAAGCCUGAGUACGGUCCCUUCCCCUGACUGCAGGGAUGGGGAAACUGAGGCCUGGGGCGCAGAUGCCCGCACAGGGCCCGGCGCAAACUGAGCAGGUUGACGGGACGCCCAGCGUCGGGUCUGGUCUCUGUCGCAGCGGCAGAACUCCUCGAACAUAUCCUGGAGAACGCUGAUUCCCAGAAGAGCUACAGGGCUGUGGGUGACAGGGGUGCCCUCGGCAGAGGGGCCGGGAAUUCGGGGCAGGCUGGGUGGGGAGAGUCAGGCCAGAGCCUGGGAGGCCGAGAGGCCAUGUGGACCCCCAGCGCUUUUGGAAGCACCCAAGAGAUGACAGGCAUCUCGGGCUGGCGCGGUUCCCAGCGUGGAGUAGACGUUCAGUAGAGGAAAUGGGAGUGAACACUGUUCGCUGCACAUCUCGGGCUGAAGGGGCUUUUUAAUUGGCCCAGCCUGUGACAUUUCCCGUGUCCCUAAAUCGAGGUGAGGCCAGUGCGCCUGCCUCUCAGGUCGGUUUUAGCGGGAGCGGAGUCGUGGCAACCGCGCCGGUCCGGGCCCGCGGGCCUGGACGGAGCCCGGGAGCCUAGGAGUCUGCCGCUCCCGAGCCAGAGGGCUUUCUCGGAUUAGGGGCGCUUCCCGCCCUGCGGCCCUUGGCCCUCGCUUUCGCCUGAGGCCGUCUGCAGCCCCAGAAUGGCUAAUCAGGAAUGUCCCGGCGGAUUUAGGAGAAUCCCCUUCACAUUCCUGUGGAUUUGCUCCUUCCAGGACUCCCAUCGGCCUUCUCUCUGGGUACCACCAGGGCCAGCUGCUCAUCUCGGUUGCCUUGGUGACUAGUGCCAGGGAUGGGCCCCUUGACAGCGGGGAGGACUGUUGGAGACCCCCAGAGGGAGAGGAAGGGGCAGCUGACCCUCCGUCUGGUUCCCAGAGUGGAUGUAAACGGUUGGUCGGACGGUAUCACAGCCCUGCCAGGGCUCCUAUCUUGCUCAGUGUGAAACCUCGAGCUGACCUUGUGGCCCCACAGACCCCACGUCUCCAGCCAUCUUGCUGGUUGCUGGCCUUAGGUACACAGGUCUCCUUUGCAAGGCUGCACCCUUCUGGAAGCUUCUUCCCUAAACCUGCAGGAUUCCCUCUCUCAUUCCCUAACCCGGGGCCUCUGCCCCAGGGUCCAUUCCUCAGAACAGCCUCCCUGAAAGGGUUGAGGAUUUCCUUCUUGCUCACAGAGCUCCUCACUAUAAGCUGAUCAGCUAGAAAGCGCUGGGACAGGAGGGGGGACACAGCCCCCACCCUCACCAGAAUCCACAUCGCAGGUGCCACAAGCCAGGUUUAUUCUCGCUUACUUCUGGAGGCCAGAAGUCCGAAACUGAGGUGUCAUCCAGGCCCUGUCCCUCCAGAGGCUCUGGGGGUGGGACCUUCCUGUGGCUUCCAGUCCUAGGCCCUGGUAUCCUUGGCCUGUGGACCCGCCCCUCCAGUCCCUGCCUCUGUUCUCACAUGGACUUAGAGGUCACAGGGAUAAUCUCGUCUCCAGGCCCUUACACCUGCAAACCCCCUUUUCCCAAAGGACAUCACGCUUACAGGUUCGGGGGUCAGGAAGUGGACACAUGGUUUCAAGAGCCGCCUGUCGAACCACGACCCCCCUGGGACCGGGACCAGCCUCACAGAGCUGCUGGCAGGCCCUCCACGAUUGCGGGGGUGGGGGAGCAGCUCCUCUGUCUGCACCCUGCUCGCCCCAGCUUCACCAGCCAGCUGCCUCUCAUCAAUGAUUGAUGGAGAACAAGGGCGUGUGAUCAUCUUGCAAUUGUUAAAGAAUUUUGAAAAGGAUACUUCUCUGUGGCAGGAGCAAGGUGGUUGAGGGGGGCCAAAUGAGGGUGGAGGGCCAGCAUCCAGCACCCCCAGGGGUUGGGGGCUGGGUCUUGUUUCUCUUUUCUGAUCCGAUGGAGGUGCCUCUGUUUCUCCCCCUUUGUCAAAAUAAGGAGCUGCGCUAAGCCAGUGUCCUCUUCCUCUCCAUGGGCUUCCCCUCCUGUUUCGAAUGGAAAUGGCUGAAUAGUUUCAGAAUGUUUGUUCCUGUGUUUGUUUAUUCACUGCCUUGAUUACAGGAGUGAGAGAUGGGGCCAGGGUCCAGGGCAGGUGGGUGUGGGCUGUAUGUCUCCAACCCCUCUAGGCCUCCCAGUCUCUCUGACCCAUUGUCCAGAUUUCUGUUGGACUGAGCUGGGCAUCUCAGCAUCAAAGAGGCUCCCGCAGCCCCUCCAAGUGGAGCCCUGCCCUCCUCGCCCAGCUCAGGGGCAGAACUGAAAGGGUUUACUCUACUCAGAGUCUUCACCUCUGAGUCUGUCUUCUACCGCCUGAUGGGAUCCAUCCAGGAGCAGCUGACUCCCCUGCCCCUCAUUAGGGUGGGAGCCCCUCCUCCAUGACACCAGCCAGGCUCUGCUCAGCCCAGCCUUCAGUUCUCAGAGGGACCGCUGUCCUGCAAGGAGACCGGUGCCCAAAGGAUGGAGACACCUGUGUGGAGGGUCCAGACGGUGGGUUACCACGCAGCUGUGACGAAACCUGGGCACCAGCCAGGGAGACCUCUGUUCCACAUAUACGCACGAAGCUCAAGACCAAGCAAAACUCACCAAACAAUGCCACAAAUUGGGGCUGGGGGCAGGUCACUCCCGGGGUCAGGGGCUAAGAAGGGCAGGUUGGAGGCUGCCAGGGGCCCUGGGACAUUCUCUGGAUCUGGGGACUCAGGAACCUCACGUGUGAAGUGCUAUGUGAUUGGAGUGUUUAGCUGACAUGGAAGGUGCAGCUCAGUAAAAGUUCUACUUAGAAAA